UCAAAACUGGCUUUCACCCCUUCCC
rnacentral:piRNA from 1 species